GGAGAUUUAUUAUUAUAAUUGCUGUGAUGAGUAGUGAGACAUCAGUUAUGCACCUCAAAUAAAGCUUGAGUUUGUCGAACUCUGGAAAUUAAUAUAGUAGGCAGUGGGUAACUACCAUUAGACAGAAAUAUGCAAAGGCUGCUCCAGUUCAUUACUACACGUCUAUGAGUGUCCUGGAAGAGUAGAGCAGAGAAGGUGCGGAACUGCCCCACCGUUCUGGCUCUUUAAUGAGAAUUACACAGGCCGACUGCACAAUGGCUGAUCCAAGGAGAACUGUGGUCAACUUGUACAUUUAGAAGAGGAGAACCAGGAACACUGAUAUACCUUCUAUUGGCUCUCUUUCUUUGGAGAAUUCUAAUAUAUAUUCGGACUCUGCCUCGGAUGCUCUUUCUGUGGCUGCCCCCCCACCGUCCUGCAUCUCUGCGUUCCUCUUUGAAUUGAUACACACUGAUGGAAAGAAACUACGUGUGAGUUGGACUUCACACUCUGAAAUUCAAAUCCAGCAGGCCAAAAGUGAAACAAACGCCAGGAGGGCUGUCUGGGCCCGGAUGCACUGCAGGUGAAGGAUAGCCACGCCCUCUUCCGCGGAGCCGCCAUCUCUCCAGCGCCAGAAAGGUAUCUGCUCGGCGCCCCUGAGACCCUCACAACUCCCGUAAGUCGCCCCCCCUGCACUUUCAGACCUCCUGAUUGUGCCAGUCUUUGGACCCACUCUGCAGAGGCACAGGUGGU
rnacentral:lncRNA from 1 species